GACGAACGCUGGCGGCGUGCCUAAUACAUGCAAGUCGAACGCAGUGGGGACGGGGGAGUAACACGUGGGUAACCUCCCUACAGAGGGGAUAACACUUGGAAACAGGUGCUAAACCGAUACUGAUGGAUGGACCCGCGGUGCAUUAGCUAGUUGGUGAGGUAACGGCUCACCAAGGCCACGAUGCAGAGACGACCUGAUAGGGUGUACGGCAACACUUGGACUGAGACACGGCCCAGACGCCUACGGGAGGCAGCAGUAGGGAAGCUUCGGCAAUGGACGAAAGUCUGACCGAUCAACGCCGCGUGAGUGAUGAAGGUUUUCGGAUCGUAAAACUCUGGUGUUAGAGAAGCGGUAUCUAACCAGAAAGCCACGGCUAACUACGUGCCAGCAGCCGCGGUAAUUC
rnacentral:rRNA from 1 species